rnacentral:lncRNA from 1 species
CAUUUAAUUAAUUUAUUAUUAAUUCAAAUAAAUAUGAAAAAAUAAUUAUAAACCUUAAUAGAAUGAGUGAAACCUAAUUAAUUAAUUAUCUUAGGAAAAUUGAAGUAUUAAAAUAUAAUAAACUUAUUAAACUGCGAUUUUAUAAAAAAAAAAGAAAAAACUUUAAAAAAAACCCUUGAAAGCACAAGAAAAGCAGACUAAGGGCCGAACCUCAUUAAAACCUUUUUACGGAAAACCCAAAGGAAAAAACCGUAAAAAGGAAAAAGAGUACUCGUCUACAAGACGAAAAAGAAAGAAGGAAAGAGCGGAAGAGAAAGUUUCCGGAACUCCGGCCUAACCAUCGUCCCCAAACAAUCCUGGCUCUAACCCCA